AAGCGAGUGCCACAGCAAAGCCGGGCGAAAUCGGAGUACGUGGCAUACAGCCGAAGCAACGAAUGUCUCAGAAUUACCACUGCACGUGUCAAAUGAACGUCACUUCAGGAAUAUAGUCUGCUUCUGC
rnacentral:lncRNA from 1 species